CAGUCGCAGAUACCAGGCUGCUGCAACUGUUUAUUAAAAACACAGCACUCUGCAAACACGAAAGUGGACGUAUAGGGUGUGAUGUCUGCCCGGUGCUGGAAGGUUAAUUGAUGGGGUUAGCGUAAGCGAAGCUCUUGAUCGAAGCCCCAGUAAACGGCGGCCGUAACUAUAACGGUCCUAAGGUAGCGAAAUUCCUUGUCGGGUAAGUUCCGACCUGCACGAAUGACAUAAUGAUGGCAGCGCUGUCUCCAGCAGAGACUCAGUGAAAUCGAAAUCGCAGUGAAGAUGCUGUGUACCCGCGGCUAGACGGAAAGACCCCGUGAACCUUUACUACAGCUUUACAUUGAACUUUGACCUGACUUGUGCAGGAUAGGUGGGAGGCUUUGAAGCCGAGACGCUAGUCUCGGUGGAGCCAAUCUUGAAAUACCACCCUGGUCAUGUUGGGGUUCUAACUCAGGUAUAACAAUACCGAGGACAAUGUAUGGUGGGUAGUUUGACUGGGGCGGUCUCCUCCUAAAGAGUAACGGAGGAGUACGAAGGUGCGCUCAGACCGGUCGGAAAUCGGUCGUAGAGUAUAAAGGCAAAAGCGCGCUUAACUGCGAGACCCACAAGUCGAGCAGGUACGAAAGUAGGUCUUAGUGAUCCGGUGGUUCUGUAUGGAAGGGCCAUCGCUCAACGGAUAAAAGGUACUCUGGGGAUAACAGGCUGAUACCGCCCAAGAGUUCAUAUCGACGGCGGUGUUUGGCACCUCGAUGUCGGCUCAUCACAUCCUGGGGCUGAAGCCGGUCCCAAGGGUAUGGCUGUUCGCCAUUUAAAGAGGUACGCGAGCUGGGUUUAGAACGUCGUGAGACAGUUCGGUCCCUAUCUGCCGUGGACGUUUGAGAUUUGAGAGGGGCUGCUCCUAGUACGAGAGGACCGGAGUGGACGAACCUCUGGUGUUCCGGUUGUCACGCCAGUGGCAUUGCCGGGUAGCUAUGUUCGGAAUAGAUAACCGCUGAAAGCAUCUAAGCGGGAAACUAGCCUCAAGAUGAGAUCUCACUGGAACCUUGAGUUCCCUGAAGGGC
rnacentral:rRNA from 1 species